GACGAACGCUGGCGGCGUGCUUAACACAUGCAAGUCGAACGGAAAGGCCCUGCUUUUGUGGGGUGCUCGAGUGGCGAACGGGUGAGUAACACGUGAGUAACCUGCCCUUGACUUUGGGAUAACUUCAGGAAACUGGGGCUAAUACCGGAUAGGAGCUCCUGCUGCAUGGGGGGGGUUGGAAAGUUUCGGCGGUUGGGGAUGGACGCGCGGCUUAUCAGCUUGUUGGUGGGGUAGUGGCUUACCAAGGCUUUGGCGGGUAGCCGGCCUGAGAGGGUGACCGGCCACAUUGGGACUGAGAUACGGCCCAGACUCCUACGGGAGGCAGCAGUGGGGAAUAUUGCACAAUGGGCGGAAGCCUGAUGCAGCAACGCCGCGUGCGGGAUGACGGCCUUCGGGUUGUAAACCGCUUUCGCCUGUGACGAAGCGUGAGUGACGGUAAUGGGUAAAGAAGCACCGGCUAACUACGUG
rnacentral:rRNA from 1 species